GGAGAUAGAGGUUGCGUGUUUUAAGAGUAUGGUUUCGGAUGUGACAGACACAGGGGAAGAGGCCGGAAAGGAAAAUGCGCCGAAAGGGUGAUCUUACUGUGAGAUCAUUCUUGGGCAUGCGUUGAAGAAGCGUAUGACUGUCAUCCGGAAUGGAUGGUGCGCUAUCGGAA
rnacentral:ncRNA from 1 species